UCUAGUAUCAGGGUUGUAGGAUAGGGGCUCCUAGAGUUUUUCGUACUCCUCACCCGGGGUUGGGUGAGGCUUGACAGCGCUAUCCAUAGAUGAUGUGUGUAUUGGAUUGUGUCUCCCUUAUAGUAGUUAUUUGAUAGUUAUUUAUGGUAGUUACUGUCUGAUAUUAUUGUAUGCUAUUUUAGUUAUGGUUCUUAUGCUUAGAUAGUU
rnacentral:lncRNA from 1 species